ACUCCUACGGGAGGCAGCAGUGGGGAAUAUUGGACAAUGGGCGAAAGCCUGAUCCAGCCAUGCCGCGUGUGUGAAGAAGGCCUUUUGGUUGUAAAGCACUUUAAGCGAGGAGGAGGCUACUUGGAUUAAUACUCUAGGAUAGUGGACGUUACUCGCAGAAUAAGCACCGGCUAACUCUGUGCCAGCAGCCGCGGUAAUACAGAGGGGUGCGAGCGUUAAUCGGAUUUACUGGGGCGUAAAGCGUGCGUAGGCGGCUUUUUAAGUCGGAUGUGAAAUCCCUGAGCUUAACUUAGGAAUUGCAUUCGAUACUGGGAAGCUAGAGUAUGGGAGAGGAUGGUAGAAUUCCAGGUGUAGCGGUGAAAUGCGUAGAGAUCUGGAGGAAUACCGAUGGCGAAGGCAGCCAUCUGGCCUAAUACUGACGCUGAGGUACGAAAGCAUGGGGAGCAAACAGGAUUAGAUACCCUGGUAGGAUAGCG
rnacentral:rRNA from 1 species